GACGAACGCUGGCGGCGUGCCUAAUACAUGCAAGUAGGACGCAGUUGCGAACGGGUGAGUAACGCGUAGGUAACUGCCUAUUAGAGGGGGAUAACUAUUGGAAACGAUAGCUAAUACCGCAUACUAGUAGAUGGACCUGCGUGGUAUUAGCUAGUAGGUAGGGUAAUGGCCUACCUAGGCGACGUUACAUAGCCGAACUGGAAGGGUGAUCGGCCACACUGGGACGUGGAAAAGGGCCAGACUCCUACGGGGGGGAGCAGUAGGGAAUUGUCGGAAAUGGGGGGAACCCUGACCGAGCAACGCCGCGGGAGUGAAGAAGGUUUUCGGAUCGUAAAGCUCUGUUGUUAAGGAAGCGGUACCUAACCAGAAAGGGACGGCUAACUACGUGCCAGCAGCCGCGGUAAUUC
rnacentral:rRNA from 1 species